rnacentral:lncRNA from 1 species
AGAUGUUGAUUCUUAAAUCUGCUUAUGGAAACCAAGAUUAUAUUCAUUCUUUAUUCGAGAGAGUUUUGCAGGCGCAUGAUAAAAAUUCAAAUGAAUAUUAAUGAAAAGGAACUUGGGAGUAAAGAUACUGAGCUGGAGAAUCUGGAAAGUAAUUCUUCGGUUGCCAGGGACUGCAUUUCAAUAGACACGACUACCACUUCAUUGGCUAAUGAAAGCGAUGUAUCCAAUCCUGAUGUAGUAAUACAUGAAGCUUCAUCGUUAUCUAAUGAUGCAGUUCCAAUCACAAACAAAGUUAACCCACUGUGUUCGGACUAUUUUCUUCAAGCUGUGCCGGAUAAUCAGAGGGAAUUGGUGCCUGUCAUACCUUAUCUUCUAGUACCUAUGCAGAUUAUCAUAUUAACAGCUCUUUAGCUACCUGUGACAGUGGUUUUGUGCAGUGCCAAUAUAAGAUUGAUGAUAUUGAA